rnacentral:rRNA from 1 species
GGCGAACGCUGGCGGCGUGCUUAACACAUGCAAGUCGAACGGAAAGGCCCUGCUUUUGUGGGGUGCUCGAGUGGCGAACGGGUGAGUAACACGUGAGUAACCUGCCCUGGACUUUGGGAUAACUGCAGGAAACUGGGGCUAAUACCGGAUAGGAGCGCCUGCUGCAUGGUGGGGGUCGGAACGCUUCGGCGGUUUGGGAUGGACGCGCGGCUUAUCAGCUUGUUGGUGGGGGAGUGGCUUACCAAGGCUUCGACGGGUAGCCGGCCUGGGAGGGUGACCAGCCACAUUGGGACUGAGGUACGGCCCAGACUCCUACGGGAGGCAGCAGUGGGAAAUAUUGCACAGUGGGGGGGAGCCUGAUGCAGCAGCGCCGCGUGUGUGAUGACGGCCUUCGUGUUGUAAACCGCUUUCGCCUGUGACGAAGCGUGAUUGACGUUAAUGGGUAAAGAAGCACCGGCUAACUACGUG